rnacentral:rRNA from 1 species
UGCGCCUUGCCAGCCCGCUCAGAAACUUAAAGGAAUUGACGGGGGCCCGCACAAGCGGUGGAGUAUGUGGUUUAAUUCGAUGCAACGCGAAGAACCUUACCUGGUCUUGACAUCCCGGAGACCCUUAGGAAACUAGGGGGUGCUUCCAUCUGGAAGAAUCUGGAGACAGGUGCUGCAUGGCUGUCGUCAGCUCGUGUCGUGAGAUGUUGGGUUAAGUCCCGCAACGAGCGCAACCCUUGCCUUUAGUUGCCAGCAGUUCGGCUGGGCACUCUAAAGGGACUGCCGGUGUUAAACCGGAGGAAGGUGGGGAUGACGUCAAGUCCUCAUGGCCUUUAUGACCAGGGCUACACACGUACUACAAUGGCCGAUACAAAGGGCAGCGACACUGCGAGGUGAAGCCAAUCCCGUAAAAUCGGUCUCAGUCCGGAUUGGAGUCUGCAACUCGACUCCAUGAAGUUGGAAUCGCUAGUAAUCGUGGAUCAGCAUGCCACGGUGAAUACGUUCCCGGGCCUU